UACGUAGGGGGCAAGCGUUGUCCGGAUUUAUUGGGCGUAAAGAGCGUGUAGGCGGCCAGGUAGGUCAGCUGUGAAACUCGAGGCUCAACCUCGAGACGCCGGUUGAAACCAUCUGGCUAGAGUCCGGAAGAGGAGAGUGGAAUUCCUGGUGUAGCGGUGAAAUGCGCAGAUAUCAGGAAGAACACCCGUGGCUAAGGCGGCUCUCUAGUACGGUACUGACGCUGAGACGCGAAAGCGUGGGGAGCGAACAGG
rnacentral:rRNA from 1 species